rnacentral:rRNA from 1 species
AGCAGCCGCGGUAAUUCCAGCUCCAAUAGCGUAUAUUAAAGUUGUUGCAGUUAAAAAGCUCGUAGUUGAAUUUUAGGCCUGACCGGACGGUCCGUCUCUGGCGAGUACUGUUCUGUUGUCGGGUCUAUCCUUCUGGUGAGCCGGUAUGCCCUUUAUUGGGUGUGUCGGGGAACCAGGACCAUUACCUUGAAAAAAUUAGAGUGUUUAAAGCGGGCUUUUGCUUGAAUAGAUUAGCAUGGAAUAAUAGAAUAGGACGUUGGUUCUAUUUUGUUGGUCUAGGACCACCGUAAUGAUUAAUAGGGAUAGUUGGGGGCAGUUAGUAUUCAAUUGUCAGAGGUGAAAUUCUUGGAUUUAUUGAAGACUAACUACUGCGAAAGCAUUUGCCAAGGAUGUUUCAUUAAUCAAGAACG